rfam:Ralstonia eutropha H16 chromosome 2
GGCAAGAGUAGAAGCGUUCACCAUCCGCGCGGCGCGUCGCAGACGCACGCCGGAUGGCCGGGAAUUGCUCUUGAA